AGAGUUUGAUCAUGGCUCAGGAUGAACGCUGGCGGCAUGCCUAAUACAUGCAAGUCGAACGGAAUCUUAUAUGUUCCUCGUUUCGGAUUUAGUUCCGAGUUGGGGAACAAUAAGAUUUAGUGGCGGACGGGUGAGUAACACGUUGGUACCUACCCUCUAGUGGGGAAUAACUUCGAGAAAUCGAGGCUAAUACCGCAUAAUAUCUACGGAUUAAAGCAUUUAUGCGCUAGAGGAGGGGCCUGCGUCUGAUUAGCUUGUUGGUGAGGUAAAAGCUCACCAAGGCGACGAUCAGUAGCUGGAUCGAGAGGUUGACCAGCCACACUGGGACUGAGAUACGGCCCAGACUCCUACGGGAGGCAGCAGUAAGGAAUCUUCCACAAUGGGCGAAAGCCUGAUGGAGCAAUGCCGCGUGCAGGAUGACGGCCUUCGGGUUGUAAACUGCUUUUAUAUAGGAAGAUUAUGACGGUACCAUAUGAAUAAGGACCGGCUAACUACGUG
rnacentral:rRNA from 1 species